rnacentral:rRNA from 1 species
GGGGAAUAUUGCACAAUGGGGGAAACCCUGAUGCAGCGAUGCCGCGUGAAGGAAGAAGAUUUUCGGAUUAUAAACUUCUAUCAGCAAGGAAGAAAACGGACAGUACUUGAGUAAGAAGCCCCGGCUAACUACGUGCCAGCAGCCGCGGUAAUACGUAGGGAGCGAGCGUUGUCCGGAAUUACUGGGUGUAAAGGGAGCGUAGGCGGGACGGUAAGUCAGGUGUGAAAUAUACGUGCUCAACAUGUAGACUGCACUUGAAACUGCUGUUCUUGAGUGAAGUAGAGGUAAGCGGAAUUCCUAGUGUAGCGGUGAAAUGCGUAGAUAUUAGGAGGAACAUCGGUGGCGAAGGCGGCUUACUGGGCUUUUACUGACGCUGAGGCUCGAAAGCGUGGGGAGCAAACAGGAUUAGAUACCCUGGUAGUCCACGCUGUAAACGAUGAUUACUAGGUGUGGGGGGACUGACCCCUUCCGUGCCGCAGUUAACACAAUAAGUAAUCCACCUGGGGAGUACGACCGCAAGGUUGAAACUCAAAGGAAUUGACGGGGGCCCGCACAAGCAGUGGAGUAUGUGGUUUAAUUCGAAGCAACGCGAAGAACCUUACCAGGUCUUGACAUCGUAUGCAUAGUCUAGAGAUAGAUGAAAUCCCUUCGGGGACAUAUAGACAGGUGGUGCAUGGUUGUCGUCAGCUCGUGUCGUGAGAUGUUGGGUUAAGUCCCGCAACGAGCGCAACCCUUACCUUUAGUUGCUACGCAAGAGCACUCUAGAGGGACUGCCGUUGACAAAACGGAGGAAGGUGGGGAUGACGUCAAAUCAUCAUGCCCCUUAUGACCUGGGCUACACACGUACUACAAUGGCAAUUAACAGAGGGAAGCAAAACAGCGAUGUGGAGCAAAUCCCGAAAAAUUGUCUCAGUUCAGAUUGCAGGCUGCAACUCGCCUGCAUGAAGUCGGAAUUGCUAGUAAUCGCAGAUCAGAAUGCUGCGGUGAAUACGUUCCCG